rnacentral:rRNA from 1 species
UGGGGAAUUUUGGACAAUGGGGGCAACCCUGAUCCAGCCAUGCCGCGUGAGUGAAGAAGGCCUUCGGGUUGUAAAGCUCUUUCAGACGGAAAGAAAACGCAUCGGUGAAUACCCGAUGUGGAUGACGGUACCGUAAGAAGAAGCACCGGCUAACUACGUGCCAGCAGCCGCGGUAAUACGUAGGGUGCGAGCGUUAAUCGGAAUUACUGGGCGUAAAGCGUGCGCAGGCGGUUAUGUAAGACAGAUGUGA